GUGCCAGCCGCCGCGGUAAUACGGAGGGUGCAAGCGUUAUUCGGAAUUACUGGGCGUAAAGCGCGUGCAGGCGGCUCGAGAAGUCUGAUGUGAAAGCCCCGGGCUUAACCUGGGAAGUGCAUUGGAAACUCUCGGGCUUGAGUGCUGGAGAGGAAGGGAGAAUUCCCGGUGUAGAGGUGAAAUUCGUAGAGAUCGGGAGGAACACCAGUGGCGAAGGCGCCCUUCUGGACAGCAACUGACGCUGAGACGCGAAAGCGUGGGGAGCAAACAGGAUUAGAUACCCGCGUAGUCC
rnacentral:rRNA from 1 species